rnacentral:pre_miRNA from 1 species
UUUAGAACUUGAGAUAUGGGUUGAACACUAAACAAUGUCUAGGCUGCAGGACAGAUUCCAACUUCUCUUUUGUUGCUACAAUUUGAACUUGAAAACGAUCUUUUUAAAUCUUGAACUCUUCAUGAAAGUUUUAGGUCUAUGUCUUAGCUUUCCAUC